rnacentral:rRNA from 1 species
UACGGAGGAUGCGAGCGUUAUCCGGAUUUAUUGGGUGUAAAGGGAGCGCAGGCGGUAUGGCAAGUCAGAUGUGAAAACCCGGGGCCCAACCCAGGGACUGCAUUUGAAACUGCCAUGCUGGAGUGCCGGAGAGGCAAGUGGAAUUCCUAGUGUAGCGGUGAAAUGCGUAGAUAUUAGGAGGAACACCAGUGGCGAAGGCGGCUUACUGGACAGUGACUGACGUUGAGGCUCGAAAGCGUGGGGAGCAA